CCUACGGGAGGCAGCAGUAGGGAAUUUUCGGCAAUGGGGGGAACCCUGACCGAGCAACGCCGCGUGAAGGAUGAAGGACUUCGUUCUGUAAACUUCUGUUAUAAAGGAAGAAAGACGGAUGGAGGAAAUGACUUCCUAUUGACGGUACCUUAUUAGAAAGCGACGGCUAACUACGUGCCAGCAGCCGCGGUAAUACGUAGGUGGCAAGCGUUAUCCGGAAUUAUUGGGCGUAAAGAGGGAGCAGGCGGCAGCAAAGGUCUGUGGUGAAAGACUGAAGCUUAACUUCAGUAAGCUAUGGAAACCGGGCAGCUAGAGUGAAGGAGAGGAUCGUGGAAUUCCAUGUGUAGCGGUGGAAUGCGUAGAUAUAAGGAGGAACACCAGUGGCGAAGGCGACGAUCUGGACUGCAACUGACGCUCAGUACCGAAAGCGUGGGGAGCAAAUAGGAUUAGAUACCCUUGUAGUC
rnacentral:rRNA from 1 species